CAAAGAGUGCGCACGCGCGGCGGCUAGGCCCGGGCAUUUUGCUGCGUCACCAGCCGCCGCCCGGCCUCACCACCCCUCGCUCGCACGCACGCACGUUCGUUCUCCGUCCUCGCGCCCCUUUUCCUACACUUUCCUCUUCUCUCCGACCGGAGGAGUCGCUCUCUCCGCGCGGUGCAUUCUGGGGACCCAGGUCGAGCCCGCCGCCGCCGCCGCCGUCGCUUAAGGGAAACGAAAAGAGGCCGCUACCGGGGAGAAGACGCCGGAGUCGCCACCGGAGAGGAGUCGCCUGCCCAGGAGCUGCCGCCGGAGACGCCCGCCACCCGUUCGCCCGUCCCCCUGCCCCGUUCACGAUGCAGCCUGCUUCUGCAAAGUGGUACGAUCGAAGGGACUAUGUCUUCAUUGAAUUUUGUGUUGAAGACAGUAAAGAUGUUAAUGUAAAUUUUGAAAAAUCCAAACUUACAUUCAGUUGUCUUGGAGGAAGUGAUAAUUUUAAACAUUUAAAUGAAAUUGAUCUUUUUCACUGUAUUGAUCCAAAUGAUUCGAAGCAUAAAAGAACGGACAGAUCAAUUUUAUGUUGUUUACGAAAAGGAGAAUCUGGCCAGUCAUGGCCAAGGUUAACGAAAGAAAGGGCAAAGCUUAAUUGGCUUAGUGUGGACUUCAAUAAUUGGAAAGACUGGGAAGAUGAUUCAGAUGAAGACAUGUCUAAUUUUGAUCGUUUCUCUGAGAUGAUGAACAACAUGGGUGGUGAUGAGGAUGUAGAUUUACCAGAAGUAGAUGGAGCAGAUGAUGUAAGUCUAUAAGUUCUUUUCUAUGUUUACUUAAAUACUAAGAAACAAUGUAUUUUCAGGUUGUUUUAUGUAGAUUCAAAAUUGCUCCUUUUUUUUUUUUGCCACUUAAUGGUCUAAAAAAUAUUACAAGGAAAACCAGUUUUUUAAAUGUGCCCAUUUUUGAGGGAUGGAUGCCUACUAGGAAACAGGUGUCCCCUGAAUCAUUCUUCAAGGCACCAGAUUUAUAAUUCAAAAUUACUAUUUUAUAGAGACAUAUGCCUUACUCAGUUAACAGUUUAGGGAUUAUUUUGACAAAGAAAGUUGAACAGGUUUUAACAUCAGGAUUGGUCAGAGAGACGUAUAGUAAACAGAUGGAUGUUGUGAAUCUAUAAGGAUAUACUAGACCACUCUUCUCAACAUUUCCCCACCUGGCAUCCUGUUAACAUCUUUAAGAAAGUUGUUCAGUGUAGUUUGGAAGAUACUUAGACAAUUCACCAGCUAGGAUUAGAGUUCAUUGUCUUCUGUCAUUCCAGGGGUCUUCAUAUUGAGCCAUUUUCCUCUUCCAUUGAAUGCCAAGAGAGAAGAGAAACUAUUUUAUACCAGGAUUCAGUCUGGUUGAUAGGAAGGGAUUUAAAGGGUGGGCUCAAUUCCCACGAAAAGGCAUAUAUCUUAUAGGAAGAUAGAUCCUCAGCUGUAUGUCUGUUUGUCUUAAGUAAACCUGUUCUUAAGUCCAUUGCUAAGUUCAAAGAUGGAUAUAACCACCAAACCAAAGAUUAUAUCUAACCAAAGAUUGAUAUAUCUGCUACCUUAGUCAAAAGUGCAGUGCUUCAGCUUUUUACGGUGCAAACUGUUCAGUUAGCAGAGGAAUGUUUGAUCAACUUGGUAACUUUUUAAAUUUUCCUUUCUGCAGGAUUCACAAGACAGUGAUGAUGAAAAAAUGCCAGAUCUGGAGUAAGGAAUGUUGUCAUCGCUGGAUUUUGAGAAAGAAAAAUAACUUCUGCAAGAUUUCAUAAUUGAGAGAAUUCCUAAGUUGAUAGCUCUAAAGGCAGAUUCUGUAUUUGCCUCCUUUAACCCAUUUUUCAACCUGUUUGUUUUUUUAAAGGCUUCACUAAGGGUUGAUAUGUACCAUUGUAUGGGGCAAUUUUAAGUCAGCUAAGGCAAUAACCUUAUGCAUGAACAUUUCCCAGAUUCCCAUGAUGCUGUUGAGGUCCUAGGCAAUUGAUAAAGCAGUUGUGAUAAAUAAAAAACAUUUCACCUAAGUCUCCUUUACUUCAUAACAUAGAUACUGACAUGAUCGGAAGCUUUCGGCUUAGGGAAAGUAAAUUUUAGAUUUUAGAACAUGGACUCAAAAGUGGCUGAAACAAAUUGGUUGAUACUUUAAACUGGUAACAUGUUGUUCCUCUGGUAUAUCCUUCAGGAUUGUUCCACUAAAGUUUUAUUUUUCAAAAAAUUUACUUCACAUUAUUGUUCGUAAGUGAUCACUUGUCAGUGUUCCAGAUGUAUCUUAGCUAAAACUAGUGAAUGCCCUAACUUAGAUGGUUUUGAAGCCUGUACAUUUGGUAUUGUUUGACCCUUAAACUUUUACAUCUCUUAGCAUGGAGGACGAAGAAAGGCUGUACAUUGUUGCUUGAGUCUGUACAUUUAGACCAAAUUUGUAUUUGCACUGUCAGUAUGGCAAAUGAGUGAAAAAAAUGUUAAUACACUAUUGGAUUUUUUAUUUUAUUAUUUUUUUUUUGAUUCAGCUUGUACCUGGGCUGAAAACCUCAAUUUAUGUUCAUGACAGUGGGGAGUUUUUUUAAUGUCUACAUUCUUUCUAAUAAACUGUUGGAAGACUUCUUGCCUAUCCUUUCAAGUGUCUGGUUUACUGUAAUUUCAUGUAUUGCCAUUUACUGGAAUGGAGUUUUUAUUUUUGCUUGAGGAAGAAUUUGGGAAUAUUCCUCUGUUUGGGGAAAAAAAAAUGAGGCUUGCUGUAAUGUCACAGAAAACCUUUUAAAAGUGGAUCUGUAACAGGAAAUUGUAGCUGCACUUUGCAACAGUUGGAAAAGAAAGUGUUGAUUUGAUUGAAAUAAAACUAACUGUGUUGUCCUCCUCUAAAUCUUUGA